GCUCGCAGCUCUCCGGCGAUGACAGCGCUGUGUUCCCGUUCUCCCUUCACCCGGUGGCCGGGACCACUGAGCCUCCUUCCCACAAUGGGAGAUCCCGAAUAGGCGAAGAGUAUCUUCGUGUCCCAACCCUUUAACAACUACCGCGCAGGAGCGUGUCAGCCUCUGGAAGCAAAACUGUCCGGUGUUGAGUCACCUACACCCAGCACGUCCCGCCCCGACCCGCCCAAGUGUGCUCUUAAGAUAGGGAGGCACAAAGGUGACCCCAAUAGGAAUCCUGGGCUGGCGGUCCCUCAGAAACUAGAGUUGAUAACAGUUUGGCCAGAACUGAAGUGACUAGAAAUGCAGGUGCCUCCAGCGUCUGAGACUAGAUAAGUUAACUUCCUACAACUUGUUGCUUUUCCUCUGUAACUCCGCCUUCCGAGGUGUCAGAAGGAACCAACCAGACCUUAAGCCCCUGUACUGCCAAAGACAGAUGGUUGAGCAUCAGAUGUUUUGCAAAGCUGAAUGAUUUUUUUUUUAAACUUCCUACAGAGCUCCCAGCUGGGUCCCUUGUGGCGUUUUCUCUAACGUCUUAGCUAAGAAAGAUUGGGCAUAUCUUCACACCAGUGAGCAAAGUUGGGCUAAUAUGCUGAAUUUUCUGUUACAUUAUACUGAUAACAGAAUUUUAAAAAUAUAUCGACACCGCUUA
rnacentral:lncRNA from 1 species